AGUCAUAAAACACAAGACAUUAAACUCCUUUCAUUUAUAAUGUAUGAAGCACUCUAACUUUCUACCAACUCUAAUGGAACAAAACAAUUUUUCGAUCCGGUUAAAAAUUCACGUAGCGGACUCGUUCUGUAACUUUUUAUGAGAAAAAUUAAUGGGAGUGUUUAUCCGCCUGGAAUCCUGGAUUCAGCGCACCAAAACUUACAAGCGGAGUUGCGGAUAUUUAAUGCUUGAACUAAAUAAUAAAUUGAUUAUUUAACACUAAUAAAAUGUUGGCAAAUAAUAAUAAUGUGAAGUUAUGUGUA